rnacentral:lncRNA from 1 species
AACAAUAGAAGGCUGGCUUUGUUUCUGGAAAGAUUCUGAGUGCGUUUAGAAGGAGGCUGACGCCUGGAAGGGGCACUUGCUUGGAAUGCCUGAAAUCCUGCCCCAAAAGAGAUGAUUGGAUGAAUAACAGCUGGAGAAGAUCAGCCUUUCAGCCUUAUUCUGAAAAUUGAGGUAAUAACAGCAAGUUACCAUGGGCUCCUUGUCUGCUCAGAUGAUUAGCUACUGGAAUCACAGACUGGUUGAGACCGCACAGAGAAAGAACAGCAAACACAGAAGCCUUGUUCAAAGCACCAGCAAGGAAUAAGCUUCAGGACUUCCAGGUCACUAACAAGAUUGAGAAUGUCACAUUUGUUUUUAAAAG